GAUGAACGCUGGCGGCGUGCCUAAUACAUGCAAGUCGAGCGAACGGACGAGAAGCUUGCUUCUCUGAUGUUAGCGGCGGACGGGUGAGUAACACGUGGAUAACCUACCUAUAAGACUGGGAUAACUUCGGGAAACCGUAGCUAAUACCGGAUAAUAUUUUGAACCGCAUGGUUCAAAAGUGAAAGACGGUCUUGCUGUCACUUAUAGAUGGAUCCGCGCUGCAUUAGCUAGUUGGUAAGGUAACGGCUUACCAAGGCAACGAUGCAUAGCCGACCUGAGAGGGUGAUCGGCCACACUGGAACUGAGACACGGUCCAGACUCCUACGGGAGGCAGCAGUAGGGAAUCUUCCGCAAUGGGCGAAAGCCUGACGGUGCAACGCCGCGUGAGUGAUGAAGGUCUUCGGAUCGUAAAACUCUGUUAUUAGGGAAGAACAUAUGUGUAAGUAACUGUGCACAUCUUGACGGUACCUAAUCAGAAAGCCACGGCUAACUACGUG
rnacentral:rRNA from 1 species